rnacentral:lncRNA from 1 species
AUCUCCACUUCCAGUUUUACAUUUACCAUCAUUAAAAUCCCAUCCAGAAUAUGGGACUGCUGGAAAGUCCCUACUUCCAGGGUUGAAGUAACUUCCACAGGUAAUUGAUCUGGGUGGUGAGCCAAUUAAAAGCAGUGACUACUUUGGUAAUGGCCGGGUGACAGAAUUCAAGUAUGGUGCAAAACUCGGCACAGUUAUUCGCAAGUGGAAUGGAGAGAAGAUGUCUUACUUAAA